GAUUUGUAUUGUCUGCUUGGGAUAUGAUGGAUGUUAAUCUGGCCUCGAUGAGAAGAAUGCUGUGGGAUGCUAGAGGCGGGAUAGUUGGGCUGACAGGCGAUGAGCAACAGAUGCAAGAUGUUGUGAUAAGAUAAAGUGAUACAGUCAACUCAUUCAGCGGACCCUGGAGAAAGAGCAUAAAAAAAACGAGGACAUGGAAAGAGAAUCUCAGAAGACUUCAAAUGUCGCUAUCAACAAACUGUUAAUGCAAAGAAUUAUGAAUCUAAUUUUUCACGAUCUUUGUUGUAGCGUUAAUUAGUAGCGUUCUACAAUUAAACGUGAGUAAAGUUACCAUAUACUAUCUCAGGUACUACUCACAACAGCUGGC
rnacentral:sRNA from 1 species